rnacentral:misc_RNA from 1 species
GAUGAAGAACGCAGCGAAAUGCGAUAAGUAAUGUGAAUUGCAGAAUUCAGUGAAUCAUCGAAUCUUUGAACGCACAUUGCGCCCGCCAGUAUUCUGGCGGGCAUGCCUGUCUGAGCGUCAUUUCAACCCUCAUGCCCCUAGGGCGUGGUGUUGGGGAUCGGCCAAAGCCCGCGAGGGACGGCCGGCCCCUAAAUCUAGUGGCGGACCCGUCGUGGCCUCCUCUGCGAAGUAGUGAUAUUCCGCAUCGGAGAGCGAUGAGCCCCUGCCGUUAAACCCCCAACUUUCCAAGGUUGACCUCAGAUCAGGUAGGAAUACCCGCUGAACUUAAGCAUAUCAAUAAGCGGGGA